UAUGGUUGGUGGGGUGGGGAAUAUUGGGGAAGGCAAAAUCAUCAAAUUUAAGGAAAAAAUUAGCCGAAAUUUUUAUGGACUAGUUUAGGUUGUGACAGAUAGGAAGUGCAUUGCCGAUAUCUUUUGCAUGAAUUUGUUAUACAAUUUUAAGAAAAAUAAAAGUAGGCGCAGAUGUGUCUCGAAGCAAAUCCAGUGGCUUUGAAAAUGGGCUUACAAGUAACAAAGAAUUAGGCAACCUACAAACAACGAAGAGUCAGGAUGUCUAUAGUCUGCGCUUGAUUAAACAUGUGUUGACAAAGCAUCUACUCAGAAGUGACUUGGUUUAGCACAGGAAGUAUGAGAAAGGCAUGUCCCUCGAGUAAAAGAAAAGGUUAUGACGUAUGGAC
rnacentral:lncRNA from 1 species